CCUACGCGAGGCUGCAGUGAGGAAUAUUGGUCAAUGGGCGCGAGCCUGAACCAGCCAAGUCGCGUGAGGGAAGACGGUCCUAUGGAUUGUAAACCUCUUUUGUCGGGGAGCAAAAGACGCCACGCGUGGCGUUCCGAGAGUACCAGAAGAAAAAGCAUCGGCUAACUCCGUGCCAGCAGCCGCGGUAAUACGGAGGAUGCGAGCGUUAUACGGAUUGAUUGGGUUUAAAGGGUGCGCAGGCGGAAGAUCAAUUCAGCGGUAAAAUUGAGAGGCUCAACCCUUUCGAGCCGUUGAAACUGGUUUUCUUGAGUGAGUGAGAAGUAUGCGGAAUGCGUGGUGUAGCGGUGAAAUGCAUAGAUAUCACGCAGAACUCCGAUUGCGAAGGCAGCAUACCGGCGCUCAACUGACGCUCAUGCACGAAAGUGUGGGUAUCGAACAGGAUUAGAUACCCAGUAGUC
rnacentral:rRNA from 1 species